AGUGAACGCUGGCGGUAGGCUUAACACAUGCAAGUCGAACGGUAACACCAUUUGAGCUUGCUCCUACGGGCGGAGAGUGGCGGAAUAGAGCGGAAUACGUCUGAAUCUACUUUUUCAUUGCGGAAAACGUAGGCAAAUUCACCAUAAUACCGAAUACUAACUACGGGUGAAAUCCGGGCCUUUUCGGACUAUGGGCGCUGAUGUGAGCUGAUGUCGGAUUAGCUAGUUGGCGGGGUAAAGGCGCACCAAGGCGACGAUCCGUAGCUGGUCUGAGAGGAUGACCAGCCACACUGGAACUGAGACACGGGCCAGACUCCUACGGGAGGCAGCAGUGGGGAAUAUUGGACAAUGGGCGCAAGCCUGAUCCAGCAAUGCCGCGUGGAUGAAGAAGGCCUUCGGGUUGUAAAGCGCUUUUGUUGGGAAAGAAAAGCAGCAUUUUAAUACCCCGGUGUUCUGACGGUACCCAAAGAAUAAGCACCGGCUAACUUCGUG
rnacentral:rRNA from 1 species